GACGAACCGUGCGAACGUUGUUCGGAAUCACUGGGCUUAAAGGGCGCGUAGGCGGCUUCGCAAGUCCGGGGUGAAAGCCCCCCAGCUCAACUGGGGAAGUGCCUCGGAUACUGCGGAGCUCGAGGGAGGUAGGGGCGGAUGGAACUUCCGGUGGAGCGGUGAAAUGCGUUGAUAUCGGAAGGAACGCCGGUGGCGAAAGCG
rnacentral:rRNA from 1 species